rnacentral:rRNA from 1 species
UACGGAGGAUGCGAGCGUUAUCAGGAUUUAUUGGGUUUAAAGGGUGCGCAGGCGGUCUGUUAAGUCAGCGGUCAAAGCCCGGGGCUCAACCCCGGCCUGCCGUCGGAACUGGGUGCCUUGAGUGGGCGAGAAGUAUGCGGAAUGCGCGGUGUAGCGGUGAAAUGCAUAGAUAUCGCGCAGAACUCCGAUUGCGAAGGCAGCAUGCCGGCUCCACACUGACGCUGAGGCACGAAAGCGUGGGUAUCGAACAGG